GUAGGACACAGCAGGGUGAAGACGCAACAUCUGUGGUGCAGUCGCAAGGUCGAGCUUUUGUGAGGCGUAGAAGCAAAUGCAUGUUUCAAGUCCACUGAGAUACUGAGAACUGCACGACACCCGCCUGCUAGCAACCAAGCCUUCCUUUCAUGGUCUGGAGCACUUCACACAUCCGUGCAUCUUUUGUUUUAAAAUUGAAUAAAUACGUUUGUAAUUUCUUGUUUUCUUUUCACUUCGGUUUGAAAUAAUGAUAAAAAUAUUGGCAAUAAUAGAGGGUUAGGGGUAAAAUUAUAAAGAUAUGAUUAUUGUCUGAGCACUUUCAAAUUAAAUCAGCUUAAACUGAUUUGUAAGCAUUGUUUGGGAUUGAUGAUUUCUACAGUCACAGAAGAUGUCUUAAAAGAUUUAAAAGUUUUGUUAAUAUGCCCAAUAUUUUGUAAAUAAUUGAGUUUGAGCAUUUUAAGAAUACAUCUACAGGAUUUUCCAAUAGCCCAAAUUUAUAAAUACAAUUUGUAUGAAUUUACGAUCUUGCUUUUUUGAAAAUCUGCCGUACAUUUUAUUUUAUAGAGAGACUAUUUUUUAUUGAUUGGAAUAAAUUAGGUCGUCCUCCCGGUUAUAAUUUUCUUAAUUUAAUAGGUCCAUACUUUAAGGGUCCUGGUUUGCUAGAGAAAUUUGAUUCAAAUGCCAUGACCUUCUCAUUAGACGAAUACUUCAAUUUUAAAUUGAAACAGAAAUAAAAUCCUGACACACUUUAGAAAUGGCAACAGUUGAAAU